rnacentral:rRNA from 1 species
GACGAACGCUGGCGGCGUGCCUAAUACAUGCAAGUACAACGCUGAAGAGAGGAGCUUGCUCUUCUUGGAUGAGUUGCGAACGGGUGAGUAACGCGUAGGUAACCUGCCUUGUAGCGGGGGAUAACUAUUGGAAACGAUAGCUAAUACCGCAUAACAAUGGAUGACACAUGUCAUUUAUUUGAAAGGGGCAAUUGCUCCACUACAAGAUGGACCUGCGUUGUAUUAGCUAGUAGGUGAGGUAACGGCUCACCUAGGCGACGAUACAUAGCCGACCUGAGAGGGUGAUCGGCCACACUGGGACUGAGACACGGCCCAGACUCCUACGGGAGGCAGCAGUAGGGAAUCUUCGGCAAUGGGGGCAACCCUGACCGAGCAACGCCGCGUGAGUGAAGAAGGUUUUCGGAUCGUAAAGCUCUGUUGUAAGUCAAGAACGAGUGUGAGAGUGGAAAGUUCACACUGUGACGGUAGCUUACCAGAAAGGGACGGCUAACUACGUG